rnacentral:ncRNA from 1 species
UUGAACACGCUGACGAGAAGAGUAGCAUAUACAGAACAUACAGAGAGAAACACAGGGUGCUGGAAGUGUUUUAUGGAAAGAUAUGUGAAAACUACCUCUGAGUGGCCCUAAUCCGGUCCGGUGAUUCCGUUAUCAUCAUGAAAGUGGCUUUUCCUAUUUUAUAGUAGAAGAGCAAGCAGGGUGGAACCGCGAAGAAUAUUCGUCCCGCAA